GACGAACGCUGGCGGCGUGCCUAAUACAUGCAAGUAGGACGCAGUUGCGAACGGGUGAGUAACGCGUAGGUAACUGCCUAUUAGAGGGGGAUAACUAUUGGAAACGAUAGCUAAUACCGCAUACUAGUAGAUGGACCUGCGUUGUAUUAGCUAGUAGGUAGGGUAAUGGCCUACCUAGGCGACGAUACAUAGCCGAACCUGGGGGGGGGUCGGCCAACAUGGGACCGAGCCCAGGCCCAGAAUCCUACGGGAGGCAGCAGUAGGGAAUCGUCGGCAAUGGGGGGAACCCUGACCGAGCAACGCCGCGGGAGUGAAGAAGGUUUUCGGAUCGUAAAGCUCUGUUGUUAAGGAAGCGGUACUUAACCAGAAAGGGACGGCUAACUACGUGCCAGCAGCCGCGGUAAUUC
rnacentral:rRNA from 1 species